rnacentral:tRNA from 1 species
GAGGGGAUAGCUCAGUGGUAGAGCACAUGAUGAGGUCCUGGGUUCAAUCCCCAGUACCUCCA